rnacentral:rRNA from 1 species
ACGAACGCUGGCGGCGUGCCUCAUACAUGCAAGUAGAACGCACAGUUUAUACCGUAGCUUGCUACACCGUAAACUGUGAGUUGCGAACGGGUGAGUAACGCGUAGGUAACCUGCCUGGUAGCGGGGGAUAACUAUUGGAAACGAUAGCUAAUACCGCAUAAUAUUGAUUAUUGCAUGAUAAUUGAUUGAAAGAUGCUAUUGCAUCACUACCAGAUGGACCUGCGUUGUAUUAGCUAGUAGGUGAGGUAACGGCUCACCUAGGCGACGAUACAUAGCCGACCUGAGAGGGUGAUCGGCCACACUGGGACUGAGACACGGCCCAGACUCCUACGGGAGGCAGCAGUAGGGAAUCUUCGGCAAUGGACGAAAGUCUGACCGAGCAACGCCGCGUGAGUGAAGAAGGUUUUCGGAUCGUAAAGCUCUGUUGUAAGAGAAGAACGGGUGUGAGAGUGGAAAGUUCACACUGUGACGGUAUCUUACCAGAAAGGGACGGCUAACUACGUG